rnacentral:sRNA from 2 species
AUAUCUCUCUGUACGGGAAGGAUGAGAAGCUUCGACUAAGGUUCGAUUCGAGCGCAGCGAGAAAGCGUUGCCGCAGGCAACGACCC